UAGAGUUUGAUCGUGGCUCAGGAUCAACGCUGGCGGCGUGCCUAAUGCAUGCAAGUCGAGCGGGGAUCACUUCGGUGAUCUUACGCGGCGGACGGGUGCGUAACACGUGGGCAACCUGCCCCGAGGUGGGGGAUAGCCGUGGGAAACCGCGGGUAAUUCCGCAUACGCUCACUGGUCGGCAGGACGAGUGAGGAAAGGGUCUUCGGACUCGCCUGGGGAGGGGCCUGCGGCCGAUUAGCUAGUUGGGGGGGUAACGGCCUCCCAAGGCGACGAUUGGUAGCUGGUCUGAGAGGACGGCCAGCCACACGGGGACUGAGACACGGCCCCGACUCCUACGGGAGGCAGCAGCAAGGAAUCUUCCGCAAUGGGCGACAGCCUGACGGAGCAACGCCGCGUGCGGGAUGACGCCCUUCGGGGUGUAAACCGCUUUUCUUCCGGAAGAACGUGGCGCAAGCCACCUGACGGUACGGGAGGAAGAAGGACCGGCUAACUACGUGCCAGCAGCCGCGGUAAUACGUAGGGUCCGAGCGUUGUCCGGAGUUACUGGGCGUAAAGCGCGCGCAGGCGGCGGUGUCAGCAUGGCGUGAAAGCCCCAGGCUCAACCUGGGAGGGUCGUCGUGGACUGCACCGCUUGAGGGCGGUAGGGGCUGGUGGAAUGCCUGGUGUAGUGGUGAAAUGCGUAGAGAUCAGCGGAACACCCGUGGCGAAAGCGGCCAGCUGGGCCGUCCCUGACGCUGAGCGCGAAGCGUGGGAGCGAACGGGAUAGAUACCCGGUAGUCCACGCAGUUAACCGAUGCCGACUAAGCGUGGGGGAGUGACCCCCUCCGUGCCGGAACCCACGCGGGAAGUCUACCGCCUUGAGAGUUACGCCCCUAGGCUAUACUCCAAGAAUUGACUGGGGAC
rnacentral:rRNA from 1 species